UACGUAGGGUGCUAGCGUUGUCCGGAUUUAUUGGGCGUAAAGAGCUCGUAGGCGGUCUGUCGCGUCGGCUGUGAAAUCCCGAGGCUCAACCUCGGGUCUGCAGUCGAUACGGGCAAACUGGAGUACUGCAGGGGAGACUGGAAUUCCUGGUGUAGCGGUGAAAUGCGCAGAUAUCAGGAGGAACACCGGUGGCGAAGGCGGGUCUCUGGGCCGAUACUGACGCUGAGGAGCGAAAGCGUGGGGAGCGAACAGG
rnacentral:rRNA from 1 species